AGAUGGUUAAAAGAGUUCCGGGUCAGGCGCGGUGGCUCAUGCCUGUAAUCCCAGCACUUUGGGAGGCCAAGGUGGGUGGAUCACCUGAGGUCAGGAGUUCAAGACCAGCCUGGCCAACAUGGUGAAACCCUGUCUCUACUAAAAAUGCAAAAAUUAGCUGGGCAUGGCAGCACAUGCCUGUAAUCCCAGCUACAUGGGAGGCUGAGGUGGGAGAAUUGCUUGAACCCAGGAGGUGAAGGCAGAGGCUGCAGUGAGCCAAGAUUGUGCCACUGCACUCCAGCCUGGGCAACAGAGCAAGACCCCAUCUCAAAAAUAAAUAUAUAAAAUAAAAAGCUAUUUCUAGUUUAUUUCACUAUAAAGUUUUGCUUUAUUAAAAAGCUAAUAAACAGCUAUUAAUCACAGUGUGUUAGUAUUUGUUACAUUUUUGUAUUUCACUAUCUUUAUUACAUUUUUGUAUUUCACUAUCUUUAUAAUAUGGUAACCAGGGUACUGGGGGAACUUUAAAAUUUCAUCUCAAAAAUAAUUUUUAAAAAGCCUGAGAUAUGAUAUAGCAUAAAAGAUUGGAUGAAAAUAUAUUUCACCGUAAGCUGAAUUGCUCAUUUAAAAAUUUUAGCUGUCAUAUAUGAGACUCGAAUUAGACACUGUUGAAUCCUGUACAGCCUUACUCAUAAAUAAAGUACUUACUGAAUUUCCACCGUUCAA